GACCCCAGGUCAGGUGAGAUUACCCGUUGAGUUUAGGUAUAUCAAUAAGUAGAGGAAGAGAAACUUACCAGAAUUCCCCUAGUAACGGCGAGUGAACCGGGAAAAUCUAGCUUAUGAAUCAGGUGCCAUCGGUGUUCGAAUUGUAGUCUAGAGAAGUGUACUCAGCGGUGGACUGGGCCCAAGUCGCCUGGAAAGGGGCACCGGAGAGGGUGAGAGCCCUGUCGUGCCCGGACCCUGUCGCACCAUAAGGCGCUAUCUACAAGUCGGGUUGUUUGGGAAUGCAACCCUAAUCGAGCAAUAAAUUCCAUCCAAGGCUAAAUACAGGGGAGAGACCGAUAGUGAACAAGUAUCGCGAGGGAAAGAUGAAAAGGACUUUGAAAAGAGAGUCAAAAGGUGCUUGAAAUUGUUGGGAGAGAAGUGGAUAGGGGCCGACGAUGCGCACCAGUCGGAUGUGGAAUGGCGAGAGCUGGUCCGUCGAUCAGCUUAGGGCAUGGAUCGUUGCAGUUCGUGGUGGCGGCCCAAGCCCGGGCCUUUGAUAUGCCAGUGGAGACGUUGUCACCUCGAUCAUGGGAUCCAGCAUGAAACCGUCACGACGUGCUUUGGCACCUGCGUGCUCUGAGCAUCAGCCUGUCUUGAAACACGGACCAAGGAUUCUGACAUAUGUGCAAGUCAACAGGCUAGAAAACCCAUAAGGCAGAAGAAAACUAAUUUGUGGGAUCCCUCGUGGGUGCACCGCCAAUCGACCUUGAUCUUCUGAGAAGGGUUCAAGUGAGAGCAUGCCUGUUGGGACCCGAAAGUUGGUGAACUAUGCUUGAGCGGGGCAAAGCCAGAGGAAACUUUGGUGGAGGCCCGCAGCAAUACUGACGUGCAAAUCAUUCGUCUGACUUGGGUAACGUGGUGAAAGACUAAUUGAAAUGUCUAGUAGCUGAUUCCCUUUGAAGUUUCCCUCAACGUAGCUGGAGCUUUAGCAAGUUUUAUCGGGUAAAGCCAAUGAUUAAAGGCAUCAGCGGCAUAACGCCCUCGACCUAUUCUCAAACUUUAAUUGGGUAGGACGGCGCGGCUACUUCGUCGAGCCGCACCACGGAAUCGAGAGCUCUAAGUGGGCCAUUUUUGGUAAGCAAAACUGGCGAUGCGGGAUGAAUAGGAAGCCGGGUUACAGUGCCCAACUGCGCGCUGACCUUUUUUCGUUUAUCUCUGCAUGAAAGUUGGUUUUCAUUUCCCUUCGUACAAAAGGUUGGUUUCAUACAUGCAGGGCUUACGAGUUGUGUUUUAUGCAUAGUAAUUCCUUUUUUAGUCGAUUUGUUUUUCUUGU
rnacentral:ncRNA from 1 species